GCAAUACUAACUUCUAACUCAUUAACAACUAACAUUUAAUUUCAAGUCAUUUACUUUUAAUGCAAUUUAAUUUUUGAGCUUUAUUCAUUUGCCAUUAUUCAUAUCAUUCUAAUUGUUUAUGUUAAUAUCAUUUUCACUUUUUCCACUUGGACCAUAUUUUGUGAUAUAUUUUAUUUGUGUAUAUUGUGUUUGUUUGUGUGGUCUUUGAC
rnacentral:lncRNA from 1 species